rnacentral:misc_RNA from 1 species
UUAACAUCGAGGGACGGUGAUAAAACAACUGUCAAAGUCAAGAGAUAGUGAAUGAAAUUAAGCUAAUUUCUAUGUUUUAUGAAUAAUUAUAGAACUUGUACCAAUAAUUUUUGAAAUAAAUUAUAAAUAAUUCAGAAAGUCAACCCCUUUUUAAUCAGCUGACUGACUAGAAAGUAGGGGUGCUCGGUUCCAGUUCAGUUCGAGAUUUGCCUAGUAAUCAGAACUAAACCGGAAUUUUGAAGUUUAGGUAUGGUUCAGGUUCGGUUCUUCAUUGUUUCGAUUUUAGUUCGGUACAGUUCUCGGUUCUUUGAUUCCGGUUUGUUUCGGUAUGAUUUCAGUUCGAUUCUCG